CAUUCUUCCAUACCAAACACAAUUCCUGGGACCUCCCUGGCGGUCCAGUGGAUGGGACUUUGCCUUCCAACGCAGGGGUUGUGGGUUUGAUUCUUGGUCGGGGAGAUAAGGUUCCACAUGCCUCAUGGUCA